AGAGUUUGAUCAUGGCUCAGGAUGAACGCUAGCUACAGGCUUAACACAUGCAAGUCGAGGGGAAACGAUAUUGGAAGCUUGCUUCCGAUAGGCGUCGACCGGCGUACGGGUGAGUAACGCGUAUCCAACCUGCCCACCACUUGGGGAUAACCUUGCGAAAGUAAGACUAAUACCCAAUGACGUCUCUAGAAGACAUCUGAAAGAGAUUAAAGAUUUAUCGGUGAUGGAUGGGGAUGCGUCUGAUUAGCUUGUUGGCGGGGUAACGGCCCACCAAGGCGACGAUCAGUAGGGGUUCUGAGAGGAAGGCCCCCCACAUUGGAACUGAGACACGGUCCAAACUCCUACGGGAGGCUGAA
rnacentral:rRNA from 1 species